GUGAGUGCGGGUCUUACCAUUACAGUCGAGCGGAAGGCCCUUCGGGGUACUCGAGCGGCGAACGGGUGAGUAACACGUGAGUAACCUGCCCCUGACUCUGGGAUAAGCCCGGGAAACUGGGUCUAAUACCGGAUACGACCGGCUCUCGCAUGAGAUGCUGGUGGAAAGUCUUUUCGGUUGGGGAUGGACUCGCGGCCUAUCAGCUUGUUGGUGGGGUAGUGGCCUACCAAGGCGACGACGGGUAGCCGGCCUGAGAGGGCGACCGGCCACACUGGGACUGAGACACGGCCCAGACUCCUACGGGAGGCAGCAGUGGGGAAUAUUGCGCAAUGGGCGAAAGCCUGACGCAGCGACGCCGCGUGGGGGAUGACGGCCUUCGGGUUGUAAACCUCUUUCAGCAGGGACGAAGUUGACGUGUACCUGCAGAAGAAGCGCCGGCUAACUACGUGCCAGCAGCCGCGGUAAUACGUAGGGCGCAAGCGUUGUCCGGAAUUAUUGGGCGUAAAGAGCUCGUAGGUGGCUGGUCGCGUCUGCCGUGAAAGCCCGCAGCUUAACUGCGGGUCUGCGGUGGAUACGGGCCGGCUAGAGGUAGGUAGGGGCAAGUGGAAUUCCUGGUGUAGCGGUGAAAUGCGCAGAUAUCAGGAGGAACACCGGUGGCGAAGGCGGCUUGCUGGGCCUUACCUGACGCUGAGGAGCGAAAGCGUGGGGAGCGAACAGGAUUAGAUACCCUGGUAGUCCACGCUGUAAACGUUGGGCGCUAGGUGUGGGGAUCUUCCACGAUCUCCGUGCCGGAGCUAACGCAUUAAGCGCCCCGCCUGGGGAGUACGGCCGCAAGGCUAAAACUCAAAGGAAUUGACGGGGGCCCGCACAAGCGGCGGAGCAUGUUGCUUAAUUCGACGCAACGCGAAGAACCUUACCAAGGUUUGACAUCACCCGGAAAGCUUCAGAGAUGGAGCCCUCUUCGGACUGGGUGACAGGUGGUGCAUGGCUGUCGUCAGCU
rnacentral:rRNA from 1 species